rnacentral:rRNA from 1 species
UACGUAGGUGGCAAGCGUUGUCCGGAUUUACUGGGCGUAAAGAGCGCGCAGGCGGUCGUUCAAGUCGCGUGUGAAAGCCCCCGGCUCAACUGGGGAGGGUCACGCAAUACUGAUCGACUCGAAGGCAGGAGAGGGAAGUGGAAUUCCCGGUGUAGUGGUGAAAUGCGUAGAUAUCGGGAGGAACACCAGUGGCGAAGGCGACUUCCUGGCCUGUUCUUGACGCUGAGGCGCGAAAGCUAGGGGAGCAAACGGG